UUCUAUUCCAUGUAUGAAGCUUUUCCGGUAGUUUAAGGACAGAAGAACUCGUGGGCGAGUUCUAGUUAAGGUGGUGAGACUGUAACCCCUGGUUCCUAAUAAUCGAUUUUUUCCAUAAAUCGUGCUUUCGGACUCUCUUUAUCCAUGUUUACUUGGUCCAUCAAUUCAUAAACCCGACUCUUUAGUUGCGUUGGGCUCGCCGAGAUAGUCGAAAUGCACUACCUAUCUCCUCGAGCCGGACUCCGGGUUCAUCUCCUAUGAUUUAUUUCAAUCCCAUGGCUUAUAUUAUUAGGAAAUUUCAAAAAUAUUCUCUAAUUCAGGAAAUAGGAAAAAAACUGAACCUUAUCUCUUACCUCUCCCUCACAAUGUGAGCUCUCCUUGUCCAUAGGAGGCGUGUUCCACAUCUUUCUUCUCUUCCCCAAGCCGAAGGGAAGAAACCCUUUCUCCUCUCUUCUCCAGCCAUCCUACUCCCUCCUCCCUCCCUUCCCCACUCCUCCCCAGGUGCCUCCUUGCUGCACCACGCCCUUCACCACCUCCAUGGUUGCCCUUUGAUUUAGGGCUUUGAGGAAGAAGGAAAGGAGACAAGAAGAGGGGGAACAAGAAAGCUUCCCCAACUUUUCCCUUCACCAAAUCUUUGUGUUUUGACCAUAGAGCAGGUUGCAGCACCAAUCCACCGGAGAUAGCCUCGCACCACCUCCCUCGCAACGAUUGAGGCGAGUACACCGGGCAACAAGGGCUAGAUUGCUCCCUUAAUGUUAUGUUCAUGUUCACAUUAUUCCUUUACAUUCAUGCAAUGGUACAUCACCGUGAGGCUUUGCAAGUAUUAGGAAGGGCGUAGCUCCCAUGGGUGUCCACUCACACUUUUCAUACCCAUUCCAUCCACCUAGCUGAUCAUGGUAACUCUCAUACUUAGUUCAUGAUUCUUGGUAGCUAGGAUCUACUUGAGGUGUAUAAACUUUGCCUUGGUUUGUUUCCAUGAUCAAUAUGUUGACCUGUCAAGGUGGGUUGGAGUUGACUAGUCCCCACCUUGCACCAUGGUGUGUUGGAACGUAUGUUUCCUUUUGCUAUGUGUAGCAUAACGGUUGGUGGCUUCACCACUUUGCUCUACAUGGGUUGUAGGAGCCUGUUGGAUGCUUCUGCUUGUGAUAUUAUGAAUAUAUGCUCUGUUUAUUCAA